rnacentral:rRNA from 1 species
CACGUAGGGGCGAGCGUUAUCCGGAAUUAUUGGGCGUAAAGAGCGCGCAGGUGGUUGAUUAAGUCUGAUGUGAAAGCCCACGGCUUAACCGUGGAGGGUCAUUGGAAACUGGUCGACUUGAGUGCAGAAGAGGGAAGUGGAAUUCCAUGUGUAGCGGUGAAAUGCGUAGAUAUUCGGAGGAACACCAGUGGCGAAGGCGGCUUACUGGGCUUUAACUGACGCUGAGGCACGAAAGCAUGGGUAGCAAACAGGAUUAGAUACCCCCGGUAGU